rnacentral:rRNA from 1 species
GGCCUGCAGCUUGCUGCGGGUACUCGAGUGGCGAACGGGUGAGUAACACGUGGGUGAUCUGCCUUGCACUUCGGGAUAAGCUUGGGAAACUGGGUCUAAUACCGGAUAGGACAGCUGUUUAGUGUCAGUUGUGGAAAGUUUUUUCGGUGCAAGAUGAGCUCGCGGCCUAUCAGCUUGUUGGUGGGGUAAUGGCCUACCAAGGCGUCGACGGGUAGCCGGCCUGAGAGGGUGUACGGCCACAUUGGGACUGAGAUACGGCCCAGACUCCUACGGGAGGCAGCAGUGGGGAAUAUUGCACAAUGGGCGGAAGCCUGAUGCAGCGACGCCGCGUGGGGGAUGAAGGCCUUCGGGUUGUAAACUCCUUUCGACAGGGACGAAGCGUAAGUGACGGUACCUGUAUAAGAAGCACCGGCUAACUACGUGCCAGCAGCCGCGGUAAUACGUAGGGUGCGAGCGUUGUCCGGAAUUACUGGGCGUAAAGAGCUCGUAGGUGGUUUGUCGCGUCGUCUGUGAAAUUCCGGGGCUUAACUCCGGGCGUGCAGGCGAUACGGGCUGACUUGAGUGCUGUAGGGGAGACUGGAAUUCCUGGUGUAGCGGUGAAAUGCGCAGAUAUCAGGAGGAACACCGAUGGCGAAGGCAGGUCUCUGGGCAGUAACUGACGCUGAGGAGCGAAAGCAUGGGUAGCGAACAGGAUUAGAUACCUGGUAGUCCAUGCCGUAAACGGUGGGCGCUAGGUGUAGGGGGCUUCCACGUCUUCUGUGCCGUAGCUAACGCAUUAAGCGCCCCGCCUGGGGAGUACGCCGCAAGGCUA